CGGCGGACGGGUGAGUAACGCGUGGGUAACCUGCCUUAUACAGGGGGAUAACAGUUAGAAAUGACUGCUAAUACCGCAUAAGCGCACAGUACUGCAUGGUACAGUGUGAAAAACUCCGGUGGUAUAAGAUGGACCCGCGUCUGAUUAGCCAGUUGGCGGGGUAACGGCCCACCAAAGCGACGAUCAGUAGCCGACCUGAGAGGGUGACCGGCCACAUUGGGACUGAGACACGGCCCAAACUCCUACGGAAGGCAGCAG
rnacentral:rRNA from 1 species